AGAAGUAGCCUUGCAUUUAUGAGACAGCCAGAAGGUGUGCCAACAUCCAGGGUAAGUUUAUAAAAUAUCUGCUGACAGAUGUGAUUCACGGGAGACUUUGAAGGUUAAGGUUUCUGUUUCUCUUCCUUGUAGUAUCCACAACUUUUCUUUGAUGAUCCUGGCUUGAGGCAGUGACAUGAACCGAUCCACCCGGGAGGGUCUGUUGAGUGGCUGCCUUUAAAACAAUCACCAUCAACGUUUUACAGAUCAACCAGCAGGGGUCCUGCCUUUGCCAGCGAUGAAAAUACACUUAAAGUUUCCCCUCUAGAUGGUAGAAGAGAACAAACUCUAAGGUACUUGUACUGUGAAGACUGGGAUGAUGUUAAAGAAAAACGAGUUGCCGGUGAAGUACAAUGCAAAGAAGAUGAAAAGUCGUGCUGUAUUACACUAUCUUUGUGUUCUGUUUUCAUUUGACAUAGCUGUUUUCCGGAGCAGCUGUUUCCACCACGGCGCAAAGCCCAGAUGGCCGAGUACUGACUAAGAGACAGCCAUGUGAUAUCCCACUCUGCUCCUACACUGGCAGAAAGAGAUGGAGUUCAGUCACCUGGAGGAAAAGUGAAGGACUGGAGAAUGGUUGUGGUCUUCAGAGACGUUAUAUACUGACUCCCUGAGUCUCCACAUGGAAUACACAUGGCUUUUCCCCCAGAACUCUGGCAGUUGGUGACUCUUGAGUAGUUUCACAAAGACAACGAAAGGCAUUUCCUUGAUUCCAGGAAAACUACCACAUUGAAACUUGAAGUCACCAUCCCAGAGGUACAAGAUUUCCACAGAGAAAAAGCUUUGAGAAUAUCUGUAGCGUGUGUAAUGUAAUAAAUCAUUUUUGUUCUGUUCUCA
rnacentral:lncRNA from 1 species